UUCAUUUUCCUUUUUAGUUUGCCACAAAGCCUUUUUCCUGAUUUCUUUCAAUAUUGCCCCUCGAUUUUCAGCUUUACACACCACCGAUGCAUUAAAUACUCCUUCAAUUGUGUAUCCCCUCUCUUUCCUCUUUACCUUUUCGAUCUCCCAUCGAGCCAACUCUCUGCCCCCAAGACGGCAAGAUGUACCAACGGGGAGCCACCUGUUUUCUCGUCAUCGUCAUCGUCCUCCUUCUCCCGCCCCUGCUAACUUCCUAUCCAUGUGUGGCCGCCGCACAUGACCCACCGCGUCAUGCUCCAGGUGGCGGUGCUGGUGCGUGGGGUCAAACGGGCGGGCUUCAUAGUCAAGGGGGAAAUGUGUCAGGGAUGGGAGCUGCUAGGCGCUUGGGACAGAGGAUACCACUGAAGGACCCUCCCUCGCCAAUCCCUAACGAGAACUCGGGGGUGGUGAUUCCCCUGACGCCGCCGCCACCGCCGUCGAUCAAUUAAUAGGUGUUGGGAGUCUGGGUACGAGCAUAUGCCAUGGUGGCUUCCGUGCACCUCUGGUCUCUUACUAAUGUGUUACAAGAAUAAUCUUGCUGGUGUGAAAUAAGUUGUCAUGCUUCAGAGUCUUAAAAUGUAUUGUUCACUUCUCUAUAUAGAUUUGGACUUCUGAGGUAAAUGGCGGAAAUAAAUUAUUAUUUUUUGGA